rnacentral:rRNA from 1 species
AUUGAACGCUGGCGGCAGGCUUAACACAUGCAAGUCGAACGAUGACUCUCUAGCUUGCUAGAGAUGAUUAGUGGCGGACGGGUGAGUAACAUUUAGGAAUCUACCUAGUAGUGGGGGAUAGCUCGGGGAAACUCGAAUUAAUACCGCAUACGACCUACGGGUGAAAGGGGGCGCAAGCUCUUGCUAUUAGAUGAGCCUAAAUCAGAUUAGCUAGUUGGUGGGGUAAAGGCCCACCAAGGCGACGAUCUGUAACUGGUCUGAGAGGAUGAUCAGUCACACCGGAACUGAGACACGGUCCGGACUCCUACGGGAGGCAGCAGUGGGGAAUAUUGGACAAUGGGGGCAACCCUGAUCCAGCCAUGCCGCGUGUGUGAAGAAGGCCUUUUGGUUGUAAAGCACUUUAAGCAGGGAGGAGAGGCUAAUGGUUAAUACCCAUUAGAUUAGACGUUACCUGCAGAAUAAGCACCGGCUAACUCUGUGCCAGCAGCCGCGGUAAUACAGAGGGUGCGAGCGUUAAUCGGAAUUACUGGGCGUAAAGCGAGUGUAGGUGGCUCAUUAAGUCACAUGUGAAAUCCCCGGGCUUAACCUGGGAACUGCAUGUGAUACUGGUGGUGCUAGAAUAUGUGAGAGGGAAGUAGAAUUCCAGGUGUAGCGGUGAAAUGCGUAGAGAUCUGGAGGAAUACCGAUGGCGAAGGCAGCUUCCUGGCAUAAUAUUGACACUGAGAUUCGAAAGCGUGGGUAGCAAACAGG